rnacentral:rRNA from 1 species
AGAGUUUGAUCAUGGCUCAGGAUGAACGCUAGCGACAGGCUUAACACAUGCAAGUCGAGGGGCAGCGGGGUAGCAAUACCCGCCGGCGACCGGCGCACGGGUGAGUAACGCGUAUGCAACUUACCUAUCAGAGGGGGAUAACCCGGCGAAAGUCGGACUAAUACCCAAUGAUAUCUCUAGAAGACAUCUGAAAGAGAUUAAAGAUUUAUCGGUGAUGGAUGGGGAUGCGUCUGAUUAGCUUGUUGGCGGGGUAACGGCCCACCAAGGCAACGAUCAGUAGGGGUUCUGAGAGGAAGGUCCCCCACAUUGGAACUGAGACACGGUCCAAACUCCUACGGGAGGCAGCA